rnacentral:rRNA from 1 species
AGAGUUUGAUCCUGGCUCAGGAUGAACGCUGGCGGCGUGCUUAACACAUGCAAGUCGAACGGAGUUGAUCAGAGGAAGUUCUCGGAUGGAAUCGGAUUGACUUAGUGGCGGACGGGUGAGUAACGCGUGGGUAACCUGCCUCACACUGGGGGAUAACAGAUAGAAAUAUCUGCUAAAACCGCAUAAGCGCACGGGGCCGCAUGGUACGGUGUGAAAAACUCCGG